rnacentral:lncRNA from 1 species
UUUAUUUGGUUUUCAGAUCCCCAACACCUUUAUUUGGUUGUUGCAUAGCCAUGGUAGUAUUUCCCCUUUCUGAGUUCCUGCAGGUGUUGGUUGGUUAUUUUGGUACAUUGGAAUUGGUUUAUUUAUCAAUCUCCAAGAGGAGUCUUGUGACUGUUGUUUUUCCUCUUGAGGAAUUUAUUGCCGAUUGCAUCCUCGUGUGGCACAUGCUUUGCCCUGACAGAUUUUAUUCCCUAGUGAAGUUCCCACAGAGUUGAUAUUUG